GUAAAACCCUAGAUCGGAGGAAUAUCGGAGGAAAUUGGCUGGGAAUUUAGCGGGAACAUGGAGAAGUUGCAACUAUCGCGAGAGGAACCAGAGUAAACCCUAGAAAUGAGAAUGAUUGAAGCAAAAUCCUCUCGUGGUAUGACUGGUGAUCUACCGCUGAGAAGAAAUCAGAGCAUAUCAUCAUCUUUAGUCUCGAUUUAUAAGCAACUUGAAACAACAACAUCGUCUUCACCAAUAAUACCAAGUAGAUAUGUGAUUUUCUUCGAUGUUGGUGGUAAUCUGAUUUUAGUUUUUCUUGUUUUAGAUUUUUGUGAUCUUCAUGUUUUAGGAUGUUGCGCUGAUCUAGUUUUUCUUAGAUAUAAAAUUGUUUCAUCUAGUAGUUCUGGUUUUAGAUUUUCA